UACGUAGGGGGCUAGCGUUGUCCGGAAUCAUUGGGCGUAAAGCGCGUGUAGGCGGUCCGGUAAGUCCGCUGUGAAAGUCGGGGGCUCAACCCUCGGAUGCCGGUGGAUACUGUCGGGCUUGAGUACGGAAGAGGCGAGUGGAAUUCCUGGUGUAGCGGUGAAAUGCGCAGAUAUCAAGGAGGAACACCAAUUGCGAAGGCAGCUCCGCUGGGACGUUAACUGACGCUGAGACGCGAAAGCGUGGGGAGCAAACAGG
rnacentral:rRNA from 1 species